rnacentral:lncRNA from 1 species
AUGAACACUUGGGUGCAACCAUUCUGUUGUCACAACUUCAUAAUGACCUUACUAACAAGCUGGAUAUCAGCACCAACAGCAUUUCUUCUCUUACAUUUUUGGAGAGCAAAGGUACAUGCUUCUGGAAACCCAGAAGAGGAAAUAGAUUACACAUAUGUUGUUAUAGGAGUUACUCUGGGAGCAGUUCUGGCAAUCGCUUUUGUAGCAGUAAUAAUCUGCAUGAUCAAAGCCAAAAUUAUUGACAGUGACUUUGGAGAGUCAGAUGGCAAAAUGGAAAGAAGGUCAAACACGGGAUCGAGCCAAAACAGAUGA